CGGUUCUCAGACUAACCUAGCAUGUGUAAAAGUUUAGCUAUACAUGCCACUGAUCUGUGAUAGUGUGAUGUCUUCCGACGCGUAUAAGUACCGUCUUAUUUAGACAGGGUAUUCUCCAACCGAGCUGCGCUGACCAUGUUCAAUGUUAUGCGAAGUGUUGACAAGCCAGCUCGAAAAUCGGAAGCGGUCGGAGGCACGCCACACUAUCCGUAUACCAUCUUGGCAUAAUGGAUUGUAUAUUUUGAGUAUGGCAUGUAUAGCAUUAUAAUCAUUUUGUAUAUAUGGUCUUAUGAUAUGGUUAUUGAGUGGUAUGGAAAUAGAAAUGCUUGGUAAUGAUUAGCCAUUGGAAUGGCUAAUCAUGAUCA